ACAAAAAGCUGCUCUGUCCUACAAAAGUCAAAUCCCACAUGACCCAUGCUGAACUGAAACAUAAAAACCUGAAGUUCCUGCCCCUGCUGCAUGGAAGCUUCAACCUCUCUGUGUGUUACUUCGAUUCCCAAAUGAAAGUCGGUGCCUACUUAAGUUUCUUAGUGUAUUAAUUGUUGGGGUUUUCAGGUUGAUCAUUUCUCUCAACCCUUGAGUUCUCACUAAUUUUGAAUCAAAUGAAAAGUAAAAAGUAGAGGAAAACAUAUGGGUCCAAAUGUAAGCUUUUAUUUAUAAUACCGGAGUUGAAGAUGUGUGGUUUGGAUCUAUGGUCAGACUUACCUAAAAUCAUUCUUUGUUGUCUGUUAUGCCUAAAAGUAGAAACUGAGAAUCAUGAGGCUCCAGGAACCAUGGCUCUAAGUUCAUCAGAGACCCCACCCCUCAUUUGGAAACAGGAGCAGAAGCGAGUGUGCUGUUCUGUGCACAGUUUCAGAAACCCAGAAGGUGUUGAGUCAAGCAAACCCAAGUUCCUGACUCCCGUGUUAAAACACAUUAGAUGGUCAGUUCCAUUUGUUUUGGAAAGAAUCGGCUAAAGAUAUAGAAAGAAGAGCAGAAGCAAUUUUUGCUCAAACUUGGGAAAUAGUUGAACCUCCUAUUUUUAUGGAAAAAUAAAACCUUGCGGGUGGGGAGAGGAUAGUUUGUUAACUUCCUUGGCGGUGGAGUGAAUACAUUGUUCAGCUGGGACUGUUUGGAAUCCUAUGGCUCCAAGACCUUGCACUUGGUUUGGUACCAAUGCAAAAUGUUGCUUAUGCCUGACCUGAGGCAGAGGAGACGAGCAAGUUCCAAAGGUCCCUGGGAAAGAAGAUGGCAGAGUCAAGGCUGGAUAUUAGGAAAAGGAAGAGUGCUCCCAAAGCUCUUCUUGGCUUUCCCAAAUCCCCUUCAUCAUCCACAAAGGAGAGGGAUAACACAGUAUCUUCCAAAUUCCUAGGGUUUGUUAGUAGACAUAGUGGGGAAUCAACAUAGCCACCCGGGUUUGGUCCAGUAUCCAACUGGUCAUCGAGCUGUGAAUGACAUCUGCUGUAUGUUACAGGAGUUCCCCUACCUGGACCUCAAGAAACUUUGGUUCCACGGGAACAGCAGGCACCCACACAUGCACAUAUACACACACACGGCACACCUGGGCUAGGAAAUGGGGAGGAGACUUUUCAUGCAGUGAGAUUCCUGAGAGGAGAACAAUGAUGGUUUUGUCAAAGCAAACCAUUGGGGAAGGUUUAAUGGAGGUGACAACAUUGCCUGCCAGAUUUUAAAUGAUCCGGGGAAGGAGAAUGAGCAUGAUAGGCAGGGAGUGGGGACAAUUUGGAGAGAGAGGACGAAUACGUACCUUGUUAUUCAGUAGAGAAUGAACAAAGUGUGUGUGUGUGUGUGUGUGUGUGUGUGUGUGUGUGUGUGUUUGGUGAGGAGGGAGUAAAGGAAGAGGUAUGUAAAGAUACCAGAAUAGAAACACACACACUUUCCCCACAGCUAUAAAAUCAAGGCCUUUUCGUGCCUUUCCUAUCUGACCUGUCUUGGGUAUCCAUGGUGCUGCGAUUAAAUUUCCAUACUUCGGGAGAACAUAAAUUCCACAAAUGCCUUUUCUUUACACACACAGACUCUCCAUACCCAUUGCCAACCACAGAAAAUGCUGUAUUAAUUCGAUUCAGGAGCACCUUUCCCGAUAGCAUCUUUUCCAAACUGGAUUCCAUCUCCUCUUUUCUCCCUUUGAUGUUUCCCCCUCAAGGGACUGAGGAGGAAGCAGACCCCUCUGUGGGCUCAAGGGCCCCUUUUCCAUUGUUCCUUUGUCUCCUUCCCACUUAACACCUUCCUUCCCUUCUCCCAGUGGCAAGUCCAGCUCCCUUCCCCCUGUGAGAAGUACGCUUGUCCGUAUGUGGGGAAGGGGUGGCUCUGUGACAGACGUUCAAGGAGGUGAGCCACCCCAUCUUUCCACACCACCUUCUCCUGCUGCACCCUGCUAACUGGUGCUACAGAGGCAUCUGUGUUGGUCUCGGUAGGGUCUCUAUGAGAGGGGCAUUGGCAAAUAAGGAACGGGGACUUUGUGGUAGUGAUUGUAGGUGAAAAUCAGGGGAGACCAGACUGGGAUGCAGGGGCGAAGGAGAGCUACAUGGGGGAAGUGGGAUCUGAACUGCAUUUUGGAAAUGGGGGGGGUGGAUUUUGUUAGCUGUAGAAGAGGAGGAUGGAGUGUUUGAUGCAAAUUUGAUGGCGCUUGGGCCCCUGAUGAUACAGUAUUGGAAAUGUCAGUAAAGGGUAGAGAUGUAUUUCACUGCCAAGUUCUUGGCUCAAAUACCUUGAGAUUUAAGGGUAUCCCAAAUAGGUUUCUUUCUCCUAUAUCCCAUUCCCUACUGGACUAGCCAUCUCACCGUGUCAGGCUAUAAAGAGAUUUCUUUCAGUAAAGAAAACCUCUCCCUGAUUCUCGUGCUUUCUGAAAGGGCUGCUGGUAAGCAGAUCCCCUCCCCUCCCUUUUCACCUCCCUAGGAUUUUUCCUCCCUCUUCUCUCCAAGUUGAUGGGUUCCUGUGAUGUAAGAGGGAAAGAGAACGGCUGAGGAGUUGUACACUGUGCCUCUUCAUCACCGUCUGGGCAGGGGAAAGAUUUGGAAAUUGCAUAUCUCAGAAACUUGAACCGGGUACUGCAUAGGACUCCUGCGCUGGAUGCUGAGGAUAGAAAGAGGCCAUCUGUGAACUCAGAGUCUUGAAAAGAAGGAAGACAGAAAGGCAGACAAGAAGGAGCCAUUACCACCGAGCAUGAUAUGACCAUACCUGUCGUCAUGAGCGUGUAGCAGGGUCAGUGGAACAGAGCACGAUGCUGGCUGGUAGCUGAUUUAAUAUUCAACUUUUGCCUAAACAUGAGAGCUGGAGACAAAGGCUAGACGACAGUACCACUGACAUUCGGACAAGCUACAACAGCUUACUCAGGAUCCAGUCAUCAGAUGCUGGCUAAGUAUAGACUAGAGGCCGUCUUCUCUGAUUCCUUGCCCCGACUGAUGCUCUUCCACGAUCACUCCUCACUCAUGUGGAAAUGAUGUGGGGCCAUGUGUUCCCCAGGCAGAAACCCACGAAAGAUGUCACUUGCUCCACGUGGCGAAGCAAUUUUCAUGGGACAAAGGAAGUUUCUCCUACUUACCCCCUGGCUUCGCCAGGAGUUCCCCCACAGUGCUCUGUGCCUGGGCUUCAGACUUGGGGACUUACUAAAAGGCAGUUGUCUCCAGAAGGGCUGUCACCUUCAUACUUAUUUAGCCUCGGGCUGAAUGAUGCCAUCGGAUUCUCUUCGGAGACAGAGAAGGAGGAAGGCAGGGAACCCCUGAGCAUCUCAAUGAGUGGGGAGGAACUGGAAAGAAGGUUGGUAUGAGGAUGGGAUUGAAGGACAAAUUUCACUGAGUCAUGGGCUUUCUGGGCUCUCAGCCCAAGAGUGAAAGCUGUCCCAUGGGGUCCCCCAGGGUGCAGGGAAGGGAGGGAAGGAGAGGCUGUAACAGAUUGCACAAACGGCCUGCUGGUCCCUCCCUUCAAUCUGGGUUGCCUUUGUGAUGUGCUUGGGCCAAUAGAAUGUCGCAGAAGUGAAGUUGUGCCAGUUUGAGCUCAAGCCAGGAGAGGCCCUGCAUUCUUCUUUCUCUCUUGGGGUAUCUGUAGCUGCUGUCAUGUUGACAAACCCAAGCUAGCUCUCUGGGCAUUCGGUGACCACGUGGAGCAGAGAAGAGCCAUGCCAGCUACAACUUCUUAGACCUUUUGACCAACAGCUUACUGUUGUGGGCUGAACCGUUUUGCCACCCGCCCCCCCAACCCCCGCCCCGAAAUAUGUAUGUUGAAGUCCUGGCCCCCAGAAUCUCAGAAUGUAGCUCAAUCUGGAAAAGGUCUUUAAAGAGGUUAUUAGAUUAAGUUGAGGUCAUUAGAUUGGGCCUGAAUCCAAUACAGCCAGCAUCCUUAUUGGAAGAGGAAAUUGGGACAUAGACGUGUGUGCACAGAAGGAAAACCAAGUGAAGGCACAGGGAGAAGAUGGCCGUCUACAGGCCAAGGAGAGGGACAUCAGGAAAAAAAAAAAAAAAAAAGAGCAACCUUGCUGACAUCUUGAUAUUGGACUGCAAGCCUCCAAAAUUGUGAGGAAAUAUAUUUCUCUUGUUUAAAGCACCGAGCCUUAGUAGUUUAAGGCAAACCAAUAUACUGGCCUGGCAGUUAAUCAUAGAUGCAUGUACCAGUUUCUCUAACAUCAGCCAAACCUGGCUCAGGGUAGCAGAACCACUGAACGGGUCCCAGCCCAAAUUACCCACCCACAGAACUGUGACAUAAACAGGUGGUUGUUCUUUUAAGUCUCUGGGUUUCUGAGUGUUUUUUUUUUUUUUCUCACUGUAGUAGAUAGUUGAUAUGAAGGUUAAGAUGCACCAGAUGUCCUGCGGCAAAUGCAUGCAUGCUGAGUUGGCCCACAGAGCUUAUAGCAUCUCCUCAUUGGUCCCUGUGGGGGGUGUGGGUAUGGAAGCCUUUACAGAACAGGGUGGGUGGCUUAGGCAGUUAAAACUCUGCCUUAGCCCCGGUGGUGCAGCAGUUUAGCGCUGCCUGCAGCCCAGGGCGUGAUCCUGGAGACCUUGAAUCGAGUCCCACAUCAGGAUCUCUGUAUGAUGCCUGCUUCUCC